rnacentral:rRNA from 1 species
AGUGAACGCUGGCGGUAGGCCUAACACAUGCAAGUCGAACGGCAGCACAGGAGAGCUUGCUCUCUGGGUGGCGAGUGGCGGACGGGUGAGGAAUACAUCGGAAUCUACUCUGUCGUGGGGGAUAACGUAGGGAAACUUACGCUAAUACCGCAUACGACCCACGGGUGAAAGCAGGGGAUCUUCGGACCUUGCGCGAUUGAAUGAGCCGAUGUCGGAUUAGCUAGUUGGCGGGGUAAAGGCCCACCAAGGCGACGAUCCGUAGCUGGUCUGAGAGGAUGAUCAGCCACACUGGAACUGGGACACGGUCCAGACUCCUACGGGAGGCAGCAGUGGGGAAUAUUGGACAAUGGGCGCAAGCCUGAUCCAGCCAUACCGCGUGGGUGAAGAAGGCCUUCGGGUUGUAAAGCCCUUUUGUUGGGAAAGAAAUCCAGCUGGUUAAUACCCGGUUGGGAUGACGGUACCCAAAGAAUAAGCACCGGCUAACUUCGUGCCAGCAGCCGCCGUAA